GAUGAACGCUAGCUACAGGCUUAACACAUGCAAGUCGAGGGGCAUCAGUUUGGUUUGCUUGCAAACCAAAGCUGGCGACCGGCGCACGGGUGAGUAACACGUAUCCAACCCGCCUCAUACUCGGGGAUAGCCUUUCGAAAGAAAGAUUAAUAUCCGAUAGCAUAUAUUUCCCGCAUGGGUUUUAUAUUAAAGAAAUUCGGUAUGAGAUGGGGAUGCGUUCCAUUAGUUUGUUGGGGGGGUAACGGCCCACCAAGACUACGAUGGAUAGGGGUUCUGAGAGGAAGGUCCCCCACAUUGGAACUGAGACACGGUCCAAACUCCUACGGGAGGCAGCAGUGAGGAAUAUUGGUCAAUGGACGCGAGUCUGAACCAGCCAAGUAGCGUGAAGGAUGACUGCCCUAUGGGUUGUAAACUUCUUUUAUAUGGGAAUAAAGUUGUCCACGUGUGGAUUUUUGUAUGUACCGUAUGAAUAAGGAUCGGCUAACUCCGUGCCAGCAGCCGCGGUAAUACGGAGGAUCCGAGCGUUAUCCGGAUUUAUUGGGUUUAAAGGGAGCGUAGGCGGAUUGUUAAGUCAGUUGUGAAAGUUUGCGGCUCAACCGUAAAAUUGCAGUUGAUACUGGCAGUCUUGAGUGCAGUAGAGGUGGGCGGAAUUCGUGGUGUAGCGGUGAAAUGCUUAGAUAUCACGAAGAACUCCGAUUGCGAAGGCAGCUCACUGGAGUGUAACUGACGCUGAUGCUCGAAAGUGUGGGUAUCAAACAGG
rnacentral:rRNA from 1 species